rnacentral:lncRNA from 1 species
UCAGUUUAUAGAGACCUGUUUUGCUGAUUUAUCAGAAUUAUCAAAAGACCUUAAUGGGUUCCCAUGAAACUUCCUUCUGUGAGAGAGAUGGCUUGCAGUGUAUCUCCCCAAAGCAGUUCAAGGAGCCCACAUUUGAUGGGGUGGGGGAAGACUGCUUUGUUUCUAUGAUUAAAGUGACAGAAGACGGGGCAGGACUUGUAUCCUUGCCUCAGUGUAUGUGGGUUCCACACACAAAAAGAACAAGAGUUGUGAAGGGGAAGGAUGACUGACUGAUCCAGGCUGAACAGAAACUUGACUCCUCUGCUGUUGAUUUUGGCCCUCUGGGAUUUGCUCAAGGAGAUUCAGAGAGAAAGUAGAGUGCAACCACACGAUUCCAUGUUUCUUCUGAUAUACUAUUUAUUGUACACCACAGGGCUCUAUGAAACAUUUAUGCAGAAAAUCCAAUUGUAUCUUACAAAGGGGCUCAGAUUUAAUGUUCUCUAAGGUGAAUGCAGAUAAUUUAGAAGGAAAAAAAGUAUGUAGAGCUGGUAAACUAUGAUGAAGUAUGUUUCAUUAUUCCUAAUAUUGAAGUAUGUGCACAGAUUUAAUCUUAAAUUGCAAUCCUGUACACACUUAUAUGGGAAUAAGUCCCACUAAACUUACCGUAAUAGCCAGUAUCCUGUUCAAUAUUUAUGAGCAAAUAGAGUUCCAGUCACACCAGAUGACUAGAGAU